rnacentral:lncRNA from 1 species
AAUAUUCAAGAAGUGUCAUGUCUUGGUGCACACUAGCACUCAAUCAUUCUAUUGAUCAACGUGUUUGAUGGUGUGUUCUAUUUUUCAUAUAUUUUUUAAAUUUUCUCUAUGUCAUGUAGUAUCCUAUAUUGUUCAUGUUCCUUGUAAUUCAAAUAGCUAGGGAUAUAUACUCGACACGUGGAGGACACCGAAAGUACUGCUUCAUGAAUCUUGAAAUAUAAAAUUAAAUAACAUUUUUUAAAAUUAUUAGAUUGUUUAUCUAAAUAAGUAACAACAUUUAAUUGAUAAAAAUUCCACGAACUUCACACUGAAUUUCUGUUAAAUUCUAUAAUAUAUAUGUGCAAUUCUAAAGAAUUUAAAUCUAUGUAUUUUUGUCGAAUUUUUUUUUCCGCCAAAAAUUACGCAUGUCAAGUUCGUACAAGUGUGCUUCGUAACCGAGCAGUAUCCACUUUUACAAGAGAGCGACUACCAUUUGCCAUUUUCAUGUCAUCGUGAAUAUUUAUCUGUGGCAGUAUUGUAAUCUGAAAACUAGUAAACUAACUAUCCACAGUAGAAAUCAUUUUAUCUUCUGACCAGAACAAUUAAAGGCAGCGAGUCCCAAACCCAAUAUGAAAAAACAUGUCCAAAUCUACCAGUUCAAAGUUUACCAAUAGACAUGGUCAAAGACUGAGUGUUCGGAAUUAUCAAAGGUCAUAAUCAUAAGCCAUAUACGUUUGACCACUACCAUAAAUAAAUGGGCGGUGCUCUACGCUCAUAAGCCAUACACAUUUGACCACUAUCAAAAAUAAAUGGGCCGUGCUCUGUGCAUUGCACCGUUUACAGCCUCUCACAACUCAAGGGAUCCACGCGCAAUAAAAAAUUUGCGAGCCCCCCACUUGUGAGGGGGCUGAAGCCCGAGCUGUAUAGCUCAGGCUAUACAAACAGCAAUUCCCUAAAUAAAAUGCUAUUCCACUGAAGAUCUUAUAAAGGUCACAAAAGUAGUACAUGGCUAGAAACAUAGUAUACUAAAAAGAAAAAUACUCCUUGCCCGAGCUUAAAGCCAGGGAUAAAUACAGGGAGGCCAAGUGGCGCCUCUAAAAAAAAAAAAAAGGAAAAACCUAACUUUUUAAGGGAGGGGGGGGGGGGGGGGGGGGGGGUUAAGCCUAGACAUACAGCAAGUCUCUACUAAAAAUAUGUAAAUCAUGACCCAACUAAGUUUAAUUUCUUAAAUUUGAGAUUUCUAUAUCAAUAGGACGGCUGCCAACUGGUACAAAGCAUUGAUGGCAAUAGUUUUUUUCUUUAAAUAUUAUUAUCAGAAAAUGUAAGUUAGCAAUCCCAAUAGGUAUCACUAGUCUAUAUGGAUGAUAAGCUGGAUCGUGGCCCCUUGGAAGCACAAGCACAGAAGUUUCUGGAGGAUACAAGGGAAGGUAAAGUUCUAGAAAAUAAAGGAUGAGACCAGAGAAUCU